rnacentral:lncRNA from 1 species
CACAUCUACAAGAACCUUUCAGGAAACCAACUUACUUGUUGUUCACUUAACAUUCAGCAGUGGAUUCCACAGGCCUCCUCUAGCUAGGGCUAAGAACUGGAUUUUGGUUAUUGUCCCAGACGCCCAAGAACCAACAGAGAAAGAGUUGGAAAAAUACACAGGUGUCUGGUAGUAGCCCACGCUAUGGAAGUAAACCAGGAAAAUACCUGCAGAGCCUUCUCCCUGCAGCGAAAUUUACACCCCGACCCCUAUUACCAAUGCUAAUAACCAUCAUGGAUCGUUUGCUUGAGAAGAAUCCGUGGAACUGCUGACGCCUCUUUUCUUCUUUCUUCUUUCCAAAGACAAAGGGAGUUGCACUGACACUCUUGUUUCUAGGUGGGCGACUGGGACGUUUUUCACCCGGACAAACUCUGGGGGGCGACGAAUCUCUCCCUUCGAGGGGGCGGGUGGAGAAAGAGAGAGGGGUGUGUGUGUGUGUGUGGAAAAACCAGAGGAGAUGCUAGAGAAGAGAAAUCUCUCCAGUGGCUCAUUAAGGCUGCCCCAUUCUGAUCAGAGCUUAGCUGCCACUGUUGGGGUUAUUCGUCUUCAGUUGCUUGCAUUAUUAGAUUUCUCACUCUCACAGAUCAUCCAAAAACUACCCAUUGGAUUGAUCGCCCGUAGAGCUGCAUUUGGUGUAAAGAAAAAAAACUUCACAGCUUUAUUGGCUCCCAGGAGACAAAACAAACAGAACGUAUUCGUAUUAAUACAAACAAUGCAAGAAACGCAGGAACCAUCCCAUAGAAAGCAGUUCAGCCAAGGGGGUCCAGCGGGCGGUAGCCCCAGCAGAAAGAGAUACCCCGGGAGGAUGGCUCAAGUUUUUGCGGCUGGCUCUCUGGGAUUUGCAAUAUUGUUCGCAGCGUCUCAUCGGAGGGAUCCUGGUCGGGAGCGAGAGAGAAGCCGCCAAAGGAAAAUGUGUAGACUGCGGGCGCCCCGUUGCUUCCAAUCAUCCGCGCGCCCACGCCACGAUAAAGGUGGCUGUGAAGAAAGGAGGAUCAACCCCCAACCCCCCCAACUCCACCCCCAGCGAUUUAAAUCUUCAGAAAUCCAUCGCUCGGUAGAUUUUGCUCAGAUCGAGGUCUCUGGGUCGCUUCCAUUGAAUACUGUUUCUGAAGCAAGAAUGAGUAAAUCCUACAACUGGAUUCUACACAUGUUCACCCGGAAGUAACCAACCAACACAAUCUCUGGACCCGUCUCACCUUAGAAGGAAAAGCCACCGCGUUAUAUAUAUCUCCCCACAGGGCGGAAGCCUCAGGUGAAUACUGAUCAAACAUAUAUCGGGAAACCCACCCAGAUUCAGAGCUCAGGGAAGUUACCUGUUUUGACUACAACUCCCAGAAGGGUGCGACCAGCACAAAUUACUGGGGCUUCUGAAAGUCUGAUCGAGUAACUUUUCCAAGAUCUGUCCAAACUUUUGCCAGCUGCGUCCCUUUAGCCGCCAUGCCAAUUUGUGGAAGGUUUAAUCCACCAUUUUGUAUUCGGGCUCUUAACUCUCUCCUAACUCCUUGCCAUUAUCCAUGGUGUUUGGGGCU